rnacentral:rRNA from 1 species
UGGGGAAUUUUGGACAAUGGGGGAAACCCUGAUCCAGCCAUCCCGCGUGUGCGAUGAAGGCCUUCGGGUUGUAAAGCACUUUUGGCAGGAAAGAAACGUCAUGGGUUAAUACCCCGUGAAACUGACGGUACCUGCAGAAUAAGCACCGGCUAACUACGUGCCAGCAGCCGCGGUAAUACGUAGGGUGCAAGCGUUAAUCGGAAUUACUGGGCGUAAAGCGUGCGCAGGCGGUUCGGAAAGAAAGAUGUGAAAUCCCAGGGCUAAACUUUGGAACUGUAUGUGUAACUACCGGGCUAGAGUGUGUCAGAGGGAGGUGGAAUUCCGCGUGUAGAAGGGAAAUGCGUAGAUAUGCGGAGGAACACCGAUGGCGAAGGCAGCCUCCUGGAAUAACACUGACGCUCAUGCACGAAAGCGUGGGGAGCAAACAGG